rnacentral:rRNA from 1 species
AAUUUUGGACAAUGGGGGCAACCCUGAUCCAGCCAUCCCGCGUGUGCGAUGAAGGCCUUCGGGUUGUAAAGCACUUUUGGCAGGGAAGAAAUAGCGCCGGAUAAUACCUGGCGUGACUGACGGUACCUGCAGAAUAAGCAACGGCUAACUACGUGCCAGCAGACGCGGUAAUACGUAGGGUGCAAGCUUUAAUCGGAAUUAAUGGGCGUAAAGGGUGCGCAGGCGGCAUGGCAAGAAAGGUGUGAAAUCCCAGGGCUUAACCUUGGAACUGCACUUUUAACUGCCAGGCUAGAGUAUGUCAGAGGGGGGUAGAAUCCCACGUGUAGCAGUGAAAUGCGUAGAGAUGUGGAGGAAUACCGAUGGCGAAGGCAGCCCCCUGGGAUAAUACUGACGCUCAGGCACGAAAGCGUGGGGAGCAAACA